UUGUAGUCUUACUUUGCAUAUUGC
rnacentral:siRNA from 1 species